rnacentral:lncRNA from 1 species
ACAACUUGAAUACAUAAAGAAAUCUCUUAUAUCAUGAGGAUAAAUUGAAUGACAUGAGAAAAUAUCAAAUGACACAUAUAGGCCAUAAAAUUAAAAUGAUACCAUGAUAAGGGCCAUUAAAUUAAGAUAAUGUUGCGAUAAAGGUCACAAUGCUACAGUAAUGCUUGCAAAUUAUGCUGCGAUAAAAGGCCAUAAUUAAGAUAAAAAUGAUACUGCAAUAAGGGCUUGUAAAUAUGCCGCGAUAAGGGCCAUGAUUAAGACUAAAAUGAUGCUGUGACAAGGGCUUGCAAAUUAAUGCCAUCAUAAGGGCUGUAAUACUCCCAAGAGCAUGAGGCCGAGUGUUCAUAUUAUGAGACCGAGGACCAAGAGUUUGCGACGAACAUAUGUAUUACGAGAUUAAGGCCCAUGAAUACGAGAUAAGGAUACGUAUUAUGAGAUUGACUCUUGAUAACAAGAGGGUAAGGAUUGUGUAAUUGUUAGAUUUAUUUCUCAUAUUAUGUGGACUGACAUAAAUUAUUUUAAUUGUUUUUUAUAUUUUACCGAAUUAAUACGUGACUAAUGUCAAAUAUUAUGGAACAAUUUUGUCAGACUCAUUUAUUAAGUGAUCAAAUAUUGUGUUAAUGAGUCUGAUUUUGACAUACCCUAUACAGUAGUAUAUUAUGGACAAAUAUAAUCCUUAAUUAUGUUAUUUUAGCUCAUAAUGGGAUGGAUAAUUUUGUACUAACACAUGAGGGGUCCCUGCGCUCAACCACUGUAUUUAAGUAACUUCAACCUAUUGGAAGUUCACUGUUCAAAAAAUCAGUGGCAUGAGUGCAAUGCACCUCUCUCUCUCUCUCUCUUGUCUCCUGUGUGUGUACACAGUAAAUUGCUGAGAGAAGCCGGAUCUUGAGCUAAGGAAAAGGAAGCGGGAAUUCAGAAGGUAGAUCAAAGCUGUAGCAACUCGGUUGAGGCUUCAUAACAAGCUUCCAAGGUUGGAUUCAUGGGAGAUCAUGGUAAAUUUCGAAAUUCCCUAAAGUAUAUGUUUAUUUAGAAAUGCACGAUUAAGGGUAUAAAGGUUGUUUUUGUUUCAGCAGUAAUGAGAUCGAGAGGCAAGAGUAUGGAGCUAAGAUUCGUAUUACGACGAGGCUCAAGAAUAUGAAGUCAAGAUACGUAUAAUAAGAUCGAGGCCCAAGAGCAUGGACCCUCGCCUACCAUGGUAGCUGGACAUCAAGUGGCUGUGAUCAAGGUUAAAGCUUCAGUCCACGUUGAGUCCAGUGGUGGCAGCGGUGUGCGCUAAUGCGCGGCUAGAUGUGACGGAUCGAGAUCCACGACCCGCGCAAAUUUACUGGCUGGUCCCGGCAACUGUGGCGGCUUCUGGGCAGUGGUUGCGGUCGGAUUUUGAAAGGGCUGUCGUGAGGAGCGAAACUCAGGUGAUGGCGGGUCUGAAAUUCCGACAGUUUCGCAAGUCGUGGCGGCGGAUACGCGAAGAUCACGGCUUCGUUUGGCUGUUUUUGGCUGCUUAGGUGUCGGGGUGCUCAAUAAUUUCUCUAAUUCGGUAUCAAAUCUAAAAUCUCGUGUGCAAACUCUAUGUUUAAUUUUUAUUGUAUUUCAAUUUAUAACUCAUUUCAUUUCAAUUUAUAGCUCAUUUCAAAGUUAAACCUAGACAAGUGAGUUCAAAAGAAAAAAGACUCUCGUAUGCUACAAGUUUGUAAUAUAUCUAAUCAACCCAAAAGUAUGGAAAGAAUAAUCGUGCGGCGGAUGCUUUGGUAAAUAUUAGCCUCUCAUGUCCUUCUUUGUGUAGUGAGAUUGUCCUCCAGACUUUAUUCGUAAUUUCAUCUCUCCGAAUGCAAAUGGCUUCCCAAACUAUAGGUUUUUUCUAGUGUUUGCGUUGGCUUAUAUUUGUUUUCCUGCAUGUUUUUUCGUAUUUUCUUACUCUUUUUUCAUGCAUCUCUUGCUACGCGUUUAUUCUUCCUUUGCUUGAUCUAUAUACUAUUUUUAUUUAAAUGAAAUUCUCCAAAAUUUGGUCGAGG